CAGUGUCUCCUAAGCAAGAAGUUCUCUACAGUUUGAGGGUAAGCUUCAUGCCCAGCGUAAGGCCCAACAUGGGCAUGAACUCACAACCCUGAGAUCAAGACCAAAGCUGAGAUCAAGAUUUGGACACUUAACCAACUGAGCCACUCAGAUUACACUGGAUUGGAUUGGAUUGGAUUGGAUUGGAUUGGAUUGGAUUGGAUUGGACUGGUUUAGACUGGAUUGGAUAGGUCAAGACCCAAUGCAGAGAGACCAGUUAUGAGGCCACAGCAAUAGUGCAGGAAGAUUUAUUUGGUGGUAGUGUUAGAAAUGGAUUACAGAGGAGAAGGCGAAAGGCAAAGAAGAAGAAGAAGAAGAAGAAGAAGAAGAAGAAGGAGAAGGAGAA